AAUAGAUACCCGGGUAGUCCACGCCGUAAACGAUGAGUGCUAAGUGUUAGAGGGUUUCCGCCCUUUAGUGCUGAAGUUAACGCAUUAAGCACUCCGCCUGGGGAGUACGGCCGCAAGGCUGAAACUCAAAGGAAUUGACGGGGGCCCGCACAAGCGGUGGAGCAUGUGGUUUAAUUCGAAGCAACGCGAAGAACCUUACCAGGUCUUGACAUCCUCUGACAACCCUAGAGAUAGGGCUUCUCCUUCGGGAGCAGAGUGACAGGUGGUGCAUGGUUGUCGUCAGCUCGUGUCGUGAGAUGUUGGGUUAAGUCCCGCAACGAGCGCAACCCUUGAUCUUAGUUGCCAUCAUUAAGUUGGGCACUCUAAGAUGACUGCCGGUGACAAACCGGAGGAAGGUGGGGAUGACGUCAAAUCAUCAUGCCCCUUAUGACCUGGGCUACACACGUGCUACAAUGGACGGUACAAAGAGCUGCAAGACCGCGAGGUGGAGCUAAUCUCAUAAAACCGUUCUCAGUUCGGA
rnacentral:rRNA from 1 species